rnacentral:lncRNA from 1 species
UUUUAUUCUAAUUAUAUGACAAAGAUAUAUACCAUGAAAUAUUUAUCAGGUAAUUAUGAUUAAAAUGUGCAGUCUCCCCAAAGAUGUGAAUAAUCACUUUUGAGUAUUCUAUAUUUAAUUAAAGAGUGUGGUGAGCUACUAGGUCAACUUGAGUAAGCCAUGAACUACGUUUCCCAGCAUCCUCUUCCCUCUCUGGUUCCUGGUUAGAGUUUCCAAAGAGAGAACUGGGAAGGCCAAAGAAAAGUAGUGGCUUUUACUCUUGGAUUUCUUUGCGGUCAGGUGCAGUGAUGGUUGCAGAGGUACCUUCUGGAUUCUCAUAUGUCCUUACUCUCUUCUCCACCCUGAUGCCCAAUGGGAGCCCAUCACUCACAACCAGAUGCUCGUGCAGACCACAGGAUGUUGGCUACACAGAGGUGUCUCACCAGCUCUCCUUUGCAGUUCUUUUGGUAGUCGGCCAUUACUGCUGAUUCUCCUUGCAGACCUUCACUUCCCUUCCUGCGUCCCCCAUGGCUGUAUAAGUUCGGAUUCUUGAAAUAAAGCCCUACUCUGUGACCAUGGUAUCACUCCCAUCUGAGCCCUGACACAAGAGUAGGAGAAUUAAGAGUCAACCUGAGUCUUUUUUCAAAAGGACUUCCAUUCUUUCAGAGCCUUUUGCUUUCAAAAUUAUGAAAAGCAAGUGCUUAU